rnacentral:lncRNA from 1 species
UUUCACUUCAUGAGAAAAUUCUCUAAGCAUUCAUUGGAGUUCAUUUUCAUACAUAUUUAUGGUCUUUCAAUCCAUAUACAUAAGGUCCAAAAGUCAUUUAAUAUUGUAUUUACAUUUACAUGACUUCGCUUUACAUCACUUUAUGUGAUUACAAGCAUACUACUUAGUUUCCAUACACAAAAGAAUAAAAAUAACUUCAAGCUCUUUAAUAGUCUUCAUUCAUACUCCAUUCUUGACCAUACUUG